GACGAACGCUGGCGGCGGGCUUAACACAUGCAAGUCGAACGGAAAGGCCCUGCUUUUGUGGGGUGCUCGAGUGGCGAACGGGUGAGUAACACGUGAGUAACCUGCCCUUGACGUUGGGAUAACUUCAGGAAACUGGGGCUAAUACCGGGUAGGAGCUCCUGCUGCAUGGUGGGGGUUGGAAAGUUUCGGCGGUUGGGGAUGGACUCGCGGCUUAUCAGCUUGUUGGUGGGGUAGUGGCUUACCAAGGCUUUGACGGGUAGCCGGGCUGAGAGGGUGACCGGACCAAUUGGGCCUGAACUAAGGCCCAUACCACUACGGGACGCAGCAGUGGGGAAGAUUGCACAAUGGGAGGAAGCCUGAUGUAGCACAGCCGCGUGCGGGAUGACGGCAUGCGGGUUGUAAACCGCUUUCGCCUGUGCCGAAGCGUGAGUGACGGUAAUGGGUAAAGAAGCACCGGCUAACUACGUG
rnacentral:rRNA from 1 species